AUUGAACGCUGGCGGCAUGCCUUACACAUGCAAGUCGAACGGUAACGGGUCCUUCGGGAUGCCGACGAGUGGCGCACGGGUGUGUAAUAUAUCGGAACGUGCCCAGCAGUGGGGGAUAACUGCUCGAAAGAGCAGCUAAUACCGCAUACGACCUGCGGGUGAAAGGGGGGGAUCGCAAGACCUCUUGCGCUUUGAGCGGCCGAUACCGGAUUAGAUAGCUGGUAGGGUAAAGGGCUACCAAGCCAACGAUCUGUAGGUGGUCUGAGAGGACGACCGGCCACACUGGAACGGAGACACGGCCCAGACGCCUACGGGAGGCAGCAGUGGGGAAUGUUGGGCAAUGGGCGCAAGCCUGAUCCAGCAAUGCCGCGUGCGGGAAGAAGGCCUUCGGGUUGUAAAGUGCUUUUGUCAGGGAAGAAAUCUUCUGGGCUAAGACCCCGGGAGAAUGACGGUACCUGAAGAAUAAGCACCGGCUAACUACGUG
rnacentral:rRNA from 1 species